GCGAUUGAUUUCGUGACCGGUACAUAAGACAUUUACUUUGAGGAAAUUAGAGUGUUUCAGGCAGGCUUGCGCCUUGAAUAUAUUAGCAUGGAAUAAUAAUAUAAGACCAGCGUCUAAUUAUUGGUUUUUGGAUGCUGGUAAUGAUUAAUAGGGAUAAUUGGGGGCAUUUGUAUUAACGCGUCAGAGGUGGAAUUCUUGGAUUGCGUUACGACAAACUAAUGCGAAAGCAUUUGCCAAGGAUGUUUUCAUUGAUCAAGAACGAAAGUGUGGGGAUCGAAGACGAUUAGAUACCGUCGUAGUCUACACCAUAAACUAUGCCACCUAGAGAUUGGGCGUCGUUAUUUACAAGACUCGCUCAGCACCUUAUGAGAAAUCAAAGUUUUUGGGUUCCGGGGGGAGUCUGGUCGCAAGGCUGAAACUUAAAGGAAUUGACGGAAGGGCACCACCAGGAGU
rnacentral:rRNA from 1 species